AGAGUUUGAUCCUGGCUCAGGAUGAACGCUGGCGGCGUGCCUAAUACAUGCAAGUCGAGCGAACGGACGAGAAGCUUGCUUCUCUGAUGUUAGCGGCGGACGGGUGAGUAACACGUGGAUAACCUACCUAUAAGACUGGGAUAACUUCGGGAAACCGGAGCUAAUACCGGAUAAUAUUUUGAACCGCAUGGUUCAAAAGUGAAAGACGGUCUUGCUGUCACUUAUAGAUGGAUCCGCGCUGCAUUAGCUAGUUGGUAAGGUAACGGCUUACCAAGGCAACGAUGCAUAGCCGACCUGAGAGGGUGAUCGGCCACACUGGAACUGAGACACGGUCCAGACUCCUACGGGAGGCAGCAGUAGGGAAUCUUCCGCAAUGGGCGAAAGCCUGACGGAGCAACGCCGCGUGAGUGAUGAAGGUCUUCGGAUCGUAAAACUCUGUUAUUAGGGAAGAACAUAUGUGUAAGUAACUGUGCACAUCUUGACGGUACCUAAUCAGAAAGCCACGGCUAACUACGUGCCAGCAGCCGCGGUAAUACGUAGGUGGCAAGCGUUAUCCGGAAUUAUUGGGCGUAAAGCGCGCGUAGGCGGUUUUUUAAGUCUGAUGUGAAAGCCCACGGCUCAACCGUGGAGGGUCAUUGGAAACUGGAAAACUUGAGUGCAGAAGAGGAAAGUGGAAUUCCAUGUGUAGCGGUGAAAUGCGCAGAGAUAUGGAGGAACACCAGUGGCGAAGGCGACUUUCUGGUCUGUAACUGACGCUGAUGUGCGAAAGCGUGGGGAUCAAACAGGAUUAGAUACCCUGGUAGUCCACGCCGUAAACGAUG
rnacentral:rRNA from 3 species